rnacentral:rRNA from 1 species
AGCAGCCGCGGUAAUUCCAGCUCCAAUAGCGUAUAUUAAAGUUGUUGCAGUUAAAAAGCUCGUAGUUGAAUUUCGGGAUCAAUUUGCUGGUCGUGCCUCUGGUACGUACUGGUAUUAUUGGUUUCUCCCUUCUGACGAACCAUGAUGUCAUUAAUUUGAUGUCGUGGAGAAUCAGGACUGUUACAUUGAAAAAUUAGAGUGUUUAAAGCAGGCAUUAGCUUGAAUACAUUAGCAUGGAAUAAUGAAAUAGGACGUUUGAUCCUAUUUUGUUGGUUUCUAGGAUUGACGUAAUGAUUAAUAGGGAUAGUUGGGGGCAUUAGUAUUCAAUUGUCAGAGGUGAAAUUCUUGGAUUUAUUGAAGACUAACUACUGCGAAAGCAUUUGCCAAGGAUGUUUUCAUUAAUCAAGACCGAAAGUUAGGGGAUCGAAGACGAUCAGAUACCGUCGUAGU